UGGCAGUCGAACGGUAACAGCCAAGCAGCUUGCUUCUUUGCUGACGAGUGGCGGACGGGUGAGUAAUGUCUGGGAAACUGCCUGAUGGAGGGGGAUAACUACUGGAAACGGUAGCUAAUACCGCAUAACGUCGCAAGACCAAAGAGGGGGACCUUCGGGCCUCUUGCCAUCGGAUGUGCCCAGAUGGGAUUAGCUAGUAGGUGGGGUAACGGCUCACCUAGGCGACGAUCCCUAGCUGGUCUGAGAGGAUGACCAGCCACACUGGAACUGAGACACGGUCCAGACUCCUACGGGAGGCAGCAGUGGGGAAUAUUGCACAAUGGGCGCAAGCCUGAUGCAGCCAUGCCGCGUGUAUGAAGAAGGCCUUCGGGUUGUAAAGUACUUUCAGCGGGGAGGAAGGGAGUAAAGUUAAUACCUUUGCUCAUUGACGUUACCCGCAGAAGAAGCACCGGCUAACUCCGUGCCAGCAGCCGCGGUAAUACGGAGGGUGCAAGCGUUAAUCGGAAUUACUGGGCGUAAAGCGCACGCAGGCGGUUUGUUAAGUCAGAUGUGAAAUCCCCGGGCUCAACCUGGGAACUGCAUCUGAUACUGGCAAGCUUGAGUCUCGUAGAGGGGGGUAGAAUUCCAGGUGUAGCGGUGAAAUGCGUAGAGAUCUGGAGGAAUACCGGUGGCGAAGGCGGCCCCCUGGACGAAGACUGACGCUCAGGUGCGAAAGCGUGGGGAGCAAACAGGGAUUAGAUACCCUGGUAGUCCACGCCGUAAACGAUGUCGACUUGGAGGUUGUGCCCUUGAGGCGUGGCUUCCGGAGCUAACGCGUUAAGUCGACCGCCUGGGGAGUACGGCCGCAAGGUUAAAACUCAAAUGAAUUGACGGGGGCCCGCACAAGCGGUGGAGCAUGUGGUUUAAUUCGAUGCAACGCGAAGAACCUUACCUGGUCUUGACAUCCACGGAAGUUUUCAGAGAUGAGAAUGUGCCUUCGGGAACCGUGAGACAGGUGCUGCAUGGCUGUCGUCAGCUCGUGUUGUGAAAUGUUGGGUUAAGUCCCGCAACGAGCGCAACCCUUAUCCUUUGUUGCCAGCGGUCCGGCCGGGAACUCAAAGGAGACUGCCAGUGAUAAACUGGAGGAAGGUGGGGAUGACGUCAAGUCAUCAUGGCCCUUACGACCAGGGCUACACACGUGCUACAAUGGCGCAUACAAAGAGAAGCGACCUCGCGAGAGCAAGCGGACCUCAUAAAGUGCGUCGUAGUCCGGAUUGGAGUCUGCAACUCGACUCCAUGAAGUCGGAAUCGCUAGUAAUCGUGGAUCAGAAUGCCACGGUGAAUACGUUCCCGGGCCUUGUACACACCGCCCGUCACACCAUGGGAGUGGGUUGCAAAAGAAGUAGGUAGC
rnacentral:rRNA from 1 species